UUUUUGUUUUUUAUUUUUUUGACAAAAGAAAGAUGUACUUGUUUCUCUUAAUAAAAAAAAAAAGUUACUAACUAUUAAAAAAAAAGCCCAAUUCUGGAUUUAAUCCAAUUCUGGAAAAUCAUAUUGAAAAAGAAGUUAUUUUUCUUUUGCUUAAAAAAAAAAAAGAAAGAAUUAAUUAGAUGCAAAAAAUAAAAGAAGCAUGCAAAACUAAUCGCGUACUUUUUUGUUUUUUUUUGACUUAUCAAUGCAUACUUGCUUCAAGAUCUUUGGUGUCUAAUGGACUACCCUUUUUGAGCCGCUGGAAGUCAUAAAACUCAGCGAGUGAGUCUCAGAAAAUCGAAAAUCAUGGUCCUUCGUGGAAUUUCUUGUUGUGUUUGUGGGAUUGCUGCAUUUGAUUGCUUGAUUGAAUAUCUGGGAAUUUGAAUCACCAUGACUAUAUAUAAUAAUGGAACAUGUAGCUUUUGAGCCGGCCCCAAUUAUGGGAAGCUUUUUUUUCGUUUUUUUGUUUUUUUUUGUUUUUUUUUUUUCCUCCGCUUUUUUCUUCAAUGGAAUCUUCUUCUUCAUCCUUGAGCUUCUGUUACCACAAAUGCCUCCACCAGUAACCACCUGGACUAUCAUAUUCUCUACCAUUGAUUAUUGCUCGAAGCGGAAGCGGCCCUCUAUCCAAAUCUCUGCAAUUUCUUACAGGAAUUCACUCAUUUUGCUUUCGAUGAAAUCAAACGCCAUUCCCAUUUGGUCUCUUCUCCUCUGCAGGUCACAUGUAUAGGACCAACUGGGGCAUUGGUCAUGGCAUAAAAGAUAUUUUAGAGGCUCAUAAAGGCCCAUUUACCGGCCAGGGUCAUAAAGGUCUAUAUGAGAUCCUAACAACGUCAUGGCGUGCUCAAUUAUCUAUUAACCUAGCUAUGUUGGGCUCUUUAACCAUUGUUGUAGCUCAUCAUAUGUAUUCGAUGCCCCCUUAUCAUAUCUAGCUACUGACUAUGGUACACAACUUUCAUUGUUCACACAUCACAUGUGGAUUGGUGGAUUUCUCAUAGUUGGUGCUGCUGCGCAUGCAGCCAUUUUUAUGGGUCUUAUAAAACCUAAAGCCAGAUUAGAGGUCAUGCUGCUUCCAGGCUAUCCAGUCUUCAAAGACACUUGCAUCCUUCACGCUCAUGCUCGGUCUACAAGGGUGCAGGGUUUAUCAAGGUUUCUCCUGAGAUUUCUGAAGCUCUGUUAAAUGGACAAGCUAUUGUUGCCCUUCAAUCCAUUAUCAUUUCCCAUGAGAUGCCAUAUCCAUAGACACUGGAACGCAUCAUGGAGGUGGAGGCAAAUGUAAGGGAGAAAGGAGCUGUUCCUGCUAGUAUUGCAAUUUUAGAUGGCAUACCAUGCGUAGGUGUUUAUAUUACCUUUUACUUCUAGUUUCUGGUUUAAGAUGUGCACUUUGAUAUGUAGCUUAUGUUAGUUGUAAUAAUUUAUCUUCCGGUUCAUGAACAAAUGAUUGCAAGUAGUCUAUGAAGCUUGAUUGAGUUAUUGGGAUUAGCCGACUUCAAUUGAUUUGAUCUGUGAACUGGAGAAAGUUCAGGAUAGAAUAUGCAAAUAAAUAUAUUGAUUUUCAUCCAUUUCAAAAGUGGCUAUACUUUGUAUAAUUUCUCUUACAAGAUGUGAUCCCUAGUUUUAUUUGUAUAAGUACUUGUAAAGAUAGAAUGAAGCAUUGUAGACACAAGAAAGAAUAUAUGGUAAUCCAUUUCAAGUGCUGAACCUAUCAUGAGCACUAAGUGUUUCUGGUCGAUUCUAAUUAUGUGAGCAAAAGAAAAAAAUAAGGUCUGCAUCUCUGAAUUUUGUUUGUUAAUUAGAUCCUUUCCCAAUCUCAUUUUUAAUGAUGCUUUGGUUGAGAUUGAGGAAUGGUGAUUUUUAUAAUAUGAUAAAACUCAUAUUCUCAAAUUCCGGAUCAUCUUCCGCAUAAGCUUAGUUUACCAUGGGGAAAUUUGAUGUGGCCAGAUAUAGCUCGUUUAGUGGCCAGGGGUUGCUCGCUCGUUUGCCAAUGUAGGUAAUGUGGCUGCAAAAUAUGCAAGAUAGAUUGUAAUUAAAUUUGUUGGCUUUGCUAAAAUAUUUUAUGUGCAGGUUCGAGCACAGAAGAACUUGCAAGGCUUGUAAUCUUUGUACCCAAGCUCAAAAGUCAGCUUGGAGGGACAUUGCACACGUUGUGAGUAAUCUCAAACGUAGAGCCAAUAAUCAAAGUUCUAUUGUCCUGUGUCUUGCUAGCUGUUAAGGUCUAUAUACUUUUGCGAAAUAGGAAGUCUGCUGUUUCAUGGUGUCAAAUGUAGGAAAUAUGAAAUGGGUAACUACCAACUAUACCCAUGCUUGAAGUGUUCUUAGACCAUAUUUUGUGUGUGUGUGUGUGUGUUGCGUGUGCGUGUGCAUGUGCACUUGCAUGCGCGCGCGCACAAUUAUAAGGUAAUAUGUGAGCUUUUAGAUGAAAUAAGCUAUUUAGAUGUUGCCUGUGUUAUCUGGUUCUGCAAUCAUGUUCAUUGCUUCUCUGGUGACAUCUCUGUUCUUAAACAUAUUUAUUGUUUCAAAAAAUCCCCUGCAGUGUUUGGUUAUAGAAACUACUAGAUGCAAAUUUUGAGCUUUCGUCUGUUUUGUAUUUGUUGGGAAUACUUCAUGACACGAAACUGUUGAAGGUUGGCAUUGCAGUGUUUGUCACUGGAGGGAUUGGGAGAGUUCAUCCAUAGACAUGGUGAUGAAGAAGGAAGAACCGACCACUGCAGACCAUCCAAAAAUGUGACCGUUGGCAACAGCAUGAAACUCACCGUUUCAUUUUAUUCUAAUAUUUCUUAUGUAUGAUUUUUACAUGCAAGUUAAUUUCUUGCAUUCAUUUGGUUAGAAUUCUGUUAUUUAAAACGACCAGCAUGGCCGGGUCUGAUUCUGUCUCUUCCGUCAGCAGACUUCGGCAUUGUAAUUAUUUGAGAAUUCUCCGGAAGCUGUUAAGCCAGAAUCUAAAUUACUCUUAGGUGUGGUGAAGGUUUUUGAUCC